UAAGCAUUUUAUCAAAAACUGAGUUGUACUUUUGUGGUGAUGGUCCACAUGAAAAGGGUGAACUUGGGCUUCUGGUUUGCAUCACAGUUCUCCAAUGUUAUUUCUUUCAAAAGACCUCUAAACCUAGGUUCGGUAAUCACCAUACUUUCCUUCUUCACCACUAACUUUGAUAUUGAGGAACCUAAUAUACACAUUGUUUACCCAUAAACUCCUUUAAAUUUAGUCUCCUUUGAUGACAUGGGCUUGCUGCAACUUAAGGACAAUAAACCCUACUUUGUUCCUCCAGGACCACCCGUGCCAAAAAAUAAGAGAAUUUAUAGCAAAAUGAAAGACCAUAUAAAACUCACUACAAUAGACUCUACACCUAUCGACAUCCAACAAUUCAUGGAAUACGUGUUGAUGCAUGUUCGAUUGAUCGACAGAAACUUGCACAGCCUUGAGCAGCAAACUUGCCAGUUAGCAGAUAAAGUUAAGGUGCUGGUACAAUCCUUGCCCCAUUCGGUUAAGGCUGCCCCAAGGCCCCGAACCAGAUGAUGCCUCUAGUGUGUCCCACCUCCUAGCCACAACAGCAGGGGAGUUCCUUUUUUACUUCUUUUUCUUUUCUUUUAUUUCUUAUUCUCCUUUUUAUUUGCAUCACAUUGGGGAUAAUGUGCAGUUUAAGUGUGGGGGAAGGACAUAUUGCACUUUUAAAUUUUCAUGUUGAUCCUAUUUC
rnacentral:lncRNA from 1 species